AGCGAAUAGAUACCCGGGUAGUCCUAGCCUUAAACGAUGAAUGCUUGGUGUCUGGGGUUUUAUAGUCCCCGGGUGCCGUCGCUAAACGCUUUAAAGCAUUACCGCCUGGGGAGUACGGUCGCGAAGACUGAAACUCAAAGGAAUUGAACGGGGACCCGCACGAAGCGGUGGAGCAUGUGGUUUAAUUCGUAACGCAACGCGAAGAACCUUACCUGGGCUAGUAAUGCCUCUGACCGGCGUAGAGAUACGCUUUCCUGGGUAAAACCAGGCAGGGUGCAAGGUGCUGCAUGGCUGUCGUCAGCUCGUGUCGUGAGAUGUUGGGUUAAGUCCCCGCAACGAGCGCAACCCUUAUCAAUAGUUGCCAGCGGUUCGGCCGGGCACUCUAUUGAGACUGCCGUUGACAAACGGAGGAAGUGGGGAUGACGUCAAGUCUCAUGGCCUUAUGUCCACGGGUCUACACGACGUGCUACAAUGGCAAGUACAAAGACGCUGCAAA
rnacentral:rRNA from 1 species